GACGUAGGGCGCGAGCGUUGUCCGGAAUUACUGGGCGUAAAGCGUGCGCAGGCGGUUUCGUAAGUCUGUCGUGAAAUCCCCGGGCUUAACCUGGGAAUGGCGAUGGAGACUGCGAGGCUAGAGUUUGGCAGAGGGGGGUAGAAUUCCACGUGUAGCAGUGAAAUGCGUAGAGAUGUGGAGGAACACCGAUGGCGAAGGCAGCCCCCUGGGUCAAAACUGACGCUCAUGCACGAAAGCGUGGGGAGCAAACAGG
rnacentral:rRNA from 1 species